UACGAAGGGGGCUAGCGUUGUUCGGAAUUACUGGGCGUAAAGCGCACGCAGGCGGAUUGAUUAGUCAGGGGUGAAAUCCCGGGGCUCAACCUCGGAAUUGCCUUUGAUACUGUCAGUCUUGAGACCGGGAGAGGUGAGUGGAAUUCCUAGUGUAGAGGUGAAAUUCGUAGAUAUUAGGAAGAACACCAGUGGCGAAGGCGGCUCACUGGCCCGGUACUGACGCUCAUGUGCGAAAGCGUGGGGAGCAAACAGG
rnacentral:rRNA from 1 species